UAUUAUCAGCCAUGAACUUGUCAAUGAAACCUGGAGCACAGGAACACAGAGGUGCAGGAAAUCCACAUCGGAUCAAGACAGACUGUGAGCUUACGAGCUUAUGCACGAGCUUGCGCAGCCCUUCUUGAUCCUAUAAAACAAGGGUUGGACAAACGUUUGAAGACACCCAGAGACUCUGCCCACCGUGUGGCCUGUGGCUUGAGCCACUGCGAUAUGCAAAUAUGGGGUGGAGAGAUAGGAGAGGAAGAGAAGAGGAACCGUUUGAGCACCGUGAAGAGAGGCAGAUCUGGAGACUUGGGGGUAGAGAGGAACACCAUCUGUCAAAUGGCACAUGACAACAUCUGGCCAGACGUGCAUCAAUGUCUUCAACACACAACCUAGGCAUGAUCAAGGGAUGUCCCAUGUUUGUACAACAAAAUCGCUCAACAAUGCACUCCUAAGGCACUCUGGGGACGAAAUGACACCAGCCUGUUCUUCGAUCUCUUUUAUGAUAUUUCCAGCUGUGGUGUCUCUUGCUGUGUUCACACCCUCAACACCAGCCCCACAGCAUCUAAUCCCUCUCUAACUUGGGCAAGAGCCUUACUACUAUUGUUCACUCUUACUAACCCAAAUAAUUGUUUCCAUCUCUAUAAUUAUUUAUUUAUCGGCCUUUUGGGACAAGGUCUCGCUCCAUAGCCCUGACUGGCUUGGAACUUGCUGCGUAGAACACAC
ensembl:lncRNA